rnacentral:rRNA from 1 species
AGACCCGAAACCCGGUGAUCUAGCCAUGGGCAGGUUGAAGGUUGGGUAACACUAACUGGAGGACCGAACCGACUAAUGUUGAAAAAUUAGCGGAUGACCUGUGGCUGGGGGUGAAAGGCCAAUCAAACCGGGAGAUAGCUGGUUCUCCCCGAAAGCUAUUUAGGUAGCGCCUCGUGAACUCAUCUCCGGGGGUAGAGCACUGUUUCGGCUAGGGGGCCAUCCCGGCUUACCAACCCGAUGCAAACUGCGAAUACCGGAGAAUGUUAUCACGGGAGACACACGGCGGGUGCUAACGUCCGUCGUGAAGAGGGAAACAACCCAGACCGCCAGCUAAGGUCCCAAAGUCAUGGUUAAGUGGGAAACGAUGUGGGAAGGCCCAGACAGCCAGGAUGUUGGCUUAGAAGCAGCCAUCAUUUAAAGAAAGCGUAAUAGCUCACUGGUCGAGUCGGCCUGCGCGGAAGAUGUAACGGGGCUAAACCAUGCACCGAAGCUGCGGCAGCGACACUAUGUGUUGUUGGGUAGGGGAGCGUUCUGUAAGCCUGUGAAGGUGGCCUGUGAGGGUUGCUGGAGGUAUCAGAAGUGCGAAUGCUGACAUAAGUAACGAUAAAGCGGGUGAAAAGCCCGCUCGCCGGAAGACCAAGGGUUCCUGUCCAACGUUAAUCGGGGCAGGGUGAGUCGACCCCUAAGGCGAGGCCGAAAGGCGUAGUCGAUGGGAAACGGGUUAAUAUUCCCGUACUUGGUGUUACUGCGAAGGGGGGACGGAGAAGGCUAUGUUGGCCGGGCGACGGUUGUCCCGGUUUAAGCGUGUAGGUGUGUGUUCCAGGUAAAUCCGGUUCACUUUAACACUGAGGCGUGAUGACGAGGCACUACGGUGCUGAAGCAACAAAUGCCCUGCUUCCAGGAAAAGCCUCUAAGCAUCAGGUAACAUCAAAUCGUACCCCAAACCGACACAGGUGGUCAGGUAGAGAAUACCAAGGCGCUUGAGAGAACUCGGGUGAAGGAACUAGGCAAAAUGGUGCCGUAACUUCGGGAGAAGGCACGCUGACAUGUAGGUGAAGUGAUUUACUCAUGGAGCUGAAGUCAGUCGAAGAUACCAGCUGGCUGCAACUGUUUAUUAAAAACACAGCACUGUGCAAACACGAAAGUGGACGUAUACGGUGUGACGCCUGCCCGGUGCCGGAAGGUUAAUUGAUGGGGUCAGCGCAAGCGAAGCUCCUGAUCGAAGCCCCGGUAAACGGCGGCCGUAACUAUAACGGUCCUAAGGUAGCGAAAUUCCUUGUCGGGUAAGUUCCGACCUGCACGAAUGGCGUAAUGAUGGCCAGGCUGUCUCCACCCGAGACUCAGUGAAAUUGAACUCGCUGUGAAGAUGCAGUGUACCCGCGGCAAGACGGAAAGACCCCGUGAACCUUUACUAUAGCUUGACACUGAACAUUGAGCCUUGAUGUGUAGGAUAGGUGGGAGGCUUUGAAGUGUGG